ensembl:lncRNA
GUAUGUUCCAGAGGGCCCAGGCGGAUUGUCAACUGUGUUAGUUGGAGGUGACCGGUUGACAGAGGGUUGCUGUCGCAAUAUUCAAUGGGCAUUUGCAGAUGGAGCAAAAGAGGCAGACCGCCUCGAAGGUCUUGCAUUUUGCUUCGAAGACUGGCAUGCAAUCCGAAAUCUUAUGGAAGUGAGUACAAUGGUACUUUCAAUUUGUUAUGAAUGUAGGACGUUUACAUAUAUUUUUUAAAUUGAUUGAGAUAGAUUCAUUACAAAAUAUUCUUCAAGCAAGAGUCUGCCAGAGAUCAUGGGACUGUCUAUGCAAACAUGAAUGUGUUGAGGUACACCUUAUGUAUACAUUUCUCCAAAACAUACUCAUUCCAUCAAUCGUUUUAAUCUAAAGGGCAACAGCUAAACAUUUGAUAAACAUUUUUUUUAUGUUCAAAGCAAAAAGUAGUAAAUUGGUAAGUCUGGCCCUAUUUGUAUAACUUCACAAAAUCAAGUUUAAAGUGCACUGUGUUAUUUUUAUCACUAGUCCCAGGGAGCUUCUUAGGAAGGCUCAAAGAGCACCAGGAUUCUUGCAGAAUUACGGUUGGUCACACAUGGUCAAUGUGCUUCAUGAGCUGAUAUACUGUAGCAGUCCUGCCAAUUUAAAUUUUACAUUAUAUUGCAUGUAUCAUUUUUCUCAUUUGCUGUCUAAAAUGUUUUUGUCUUGCAGAUGUUCAAAUGCAAAACAAGGCCCAAUGAAAUCUUACGAUUCAUACAAAAACUUCCUGAUAAGAGACACCAGUGCACUAUUUGUUGCUGCAGCAAUGGAGCAUUUUGGGCUACACGAUGUGACAGAAAUCCCGGAGGACUUCAUUCCUGAUGACAUUUGUUCAGGCUCAACACAGGUGAAGAGGCACUGGUUAAAUCUAAAGACUGCUGAGGUGGUUGAUAAAUCAGUCAUGCUCCGUGAGGUCCUCGAGCAAUAUGCAAAGGAACCAAACAGAAGAUUUGUAUGUCGACAGCAGGGAUGUGGAAAAGUCCACAGGAAUGACAAUGACCGACAAAGACAUGAGACUACAAAACAUAACAUGACUCUUGAGUUGUGUCCCGCAGGUGAGGAUCAUAUCAAGCAGCAUUCUGAAGCAAGACUAGGCUUUGGAUUUCUUCUUCUAAACAUGCUUGAUGCUGUCAAAGAAGGAGAUGGAAGACGGCUCAUGCGACUUUAUCAAGUGGCUUUGCUUUUUUACAAAGCAUACGGACACACAAACUAUGCUUACAGCACUUUCUUCUGUCACUACAACUGAAUUCUACCCUAUCUCCACGCAUGGCACACAGUGUUAUGUGGAACAGAUUUUGGAACGGAAGAGGAGGUACAGGAAACAAUGUACCCUUGGAUGUACACCUUGAGCACCUUAACAACUACCUCAAGUCCUAUCUAAAAGGAUUAGGGCCAAAUCUUAAUGAGGACUCUGCACGUCGAAUCAGCUGUUCCAUCGGCAUCUUGAAAGAUAUGAUGGACAAGACAGAUGCAGAGCUUGAAAUCAAUCCUCCAAGUGGGCUACAUCGAGCAGCUAAGGAGAUUAUGGACAUCCAUGCACUUGCAAAGAUUUUCAAAGAUGAGGAAAUUUUUAAGUUUAAUGCAGGUAGAGAAUACAAAUCAUUCCCCGCCUUCUCGAAAAACCUGUUGGAAAAGUUAAGUUACAGUAGUCUUUGCAAAUGGAUGCGUUCUAAAAUCAAAGAUUGGCGAAAAGUAGCCCUUUGAAUAUUGUAUUGACAUGUAUGCCAAUUAGAACAGUUACUCCAAGAAGUACUCAAGUACACAAAAGUACAAAUAUAAGAGAUACAAAUUGUAAUUAAGUAUACACUUUCAAAUGUAAUUAAUGCCAAAAUUAUUUUUUCUUUGAAAACAAAGACUAAGCUUUGCAAUAGUGUUGUGUUCUCCAGUAGUGUUAAAAAAAACUGUGACAUAGUGACUUUGGAAAGUGUAUCUUAAGGCUGUGUUUGGAUAAACAAAAGCCAAGUAAUUCUUUUACUUGUAAUAUUUGGGUCUUUCUAGAAAUGUAAAAGAGUACAUAGUAUUUUUAUUUGAGGAAUGUAGGUGAGCAAUAUAAAACACUGAAAUUUGUUAAAUGCACUAUAGAAGAUUUUGUUUUUUGUUUACUUAAUUACUUGAAGUAGAUAUACUGGGUCAAUGUUGUCUUUGCAACUAAUUAUUGUGCAUGUUCUGUGCAUACAGGUGUUUUAGUUGCAAUCAAUGUUUGUGUUCUGAUGUAACAUUGUACAAUUUUAUUUAUUUAUUUAUGCUAUACAUUUAUUUAUAUUAUAGUAACACUGGCUUGUUGGGUUUUGAAAAUUUAACAUAAAGACUUAAUUUCAUUCUAAUGUAUUAAUUAGUUCUUUUUACUACUCUACCAUGUGUGUCAAUCAAGGUAAUACAUUCAAAUACUAGGAUAACAAGAGAACAUCAAAUCUUUUAUUUUAAUAAAACAAAGCAGAACAAGUGUUGAGGCAAACAUAUAAAUAUACAUGUAUACAUGACAC